CUUACGAAUCACCCUGUAUAAAAAGAAGAAAGAUAGAGAAGGAAGAAGUCACCGGUGAACAUUCCACGAAGGCACGGCUCAUCCAGAGCAGAAUCGUUCCCACGGUUCGCGAAUCCGCUUGGAACACCACGCCGCUCCUCCUCCAAUCGCGUUUCCACUUCCGUUCAUCUUAGUAAUUAUUCAUUGAUGCGGAAACACAAUUUAAAAGCGCGACACUUUCCUCUCCGCUCGAAAAGGGGGGAACGGAUUAGGCUGUAAAUCGUUUAGCCGAUGAAUGGAGGCACGGUGUCGGGUACGUUGAUUGGUGUUUAUCAAUUCACGUGUCACGAUUUUGGUUAGCGGGUCUGGGACAAUGAUAAACGUAUAUUCUUUCAUGGAUUGUUAUUAUUAUUAUAGUUGGUGGUGAUGAUAACCUUGGUCAUGCAUUGACGGGUAUGGUAGGAGAUGGUAGAAGAACGUUCUGUGACAUGCGUGAUGCAAACGAUGUGGAAUGGAUGAUAUAAUUGCACAGAUAAUGAUAUCUUGUGUUACAAUGUUCGUACAUCGUGAUGCGUAAGAGAUUAUUGAAGGAAAUAAGAAUCUAUGGAAAAUGAAGAGAUUAAAAAGUCAGGUAAAAGGAUUUUAAUGUGUAUCUGAAACUGGAUGGAAGUACUGGAUGGAAAUAUAGAAGUUUAAUUUAAGGAAAAGUGAGAAUAAGAAGUAAUAAAAGGAAGACAUUAAAGUCAAAUCGAAGAAA